GGAGUUUGGGCCGUGUCUCAGUCCCAAUGUGGCCGUCCGACCUCUCAGUCCGGCUACUGAUCGUUGCUUUGGUAGGCCGUUACCCUGCCAACCGGCUAAUCAGACGCGGGCCCAUCCCAUGGCGUUUCGCUUUCCGCUUAGGGACAUGCGUCCUUAAGCGCUUAUGCGGUAUUAGCGGAAGUUUCCCUCCGUUGUCCCCCUCCAUGGGGCAGGUUGCCCACGCGUUACUCACCCGUCCGCCACUAGGAUAAAAAAUCACUAGGUUUCAUCUUUAUCCCCGUUCGACUUGCAUGUGUUAGGCACGCCGCCAGCGUUCAUC
rnacentral:rRNA from 1 species